CGGGAGGGCGCUUACCACUUUGUGAUUCAUGACUGGGGUGAAGUCGUAACAAGGUAACCGUAGGGGAACCUGCGGUUGGAUCACCUCCUUACCUGAAAGAAGC
rnacentral:rRNA from 2 species